GGAAGCGUUUCGUCACCGGUGUGGCGCCCGGUCUUCAAAACCGGUGGUGGGCAGAGAUGUCCAUGGUAGGUUCGACUCCUAUACGCUUCCGCCA
rnacentral:tRNA from 3 species